AAGGGGGGACCUGAUCCAGCCAUGCCGCGUGUGUGAAGAAGGCCUUAUGGUUGUAAAGCACUUUAAGCGAGGAGGAGGCUCUCUUGGUUAAUACCCAAGAUGAGUGGACGUUACUCGCAGAAUAAGCACCGGCUAACUCUGUGCCAGCAGCCCGCGGUAAAAA
rnacentral:rRNA from 1 species